rnacentral:misc_RNA from 1 species
GAACGCACAUUGCGCCCGCCAGUAUUCUGGCGGGCAUGCCUGUUCGAGCGUCAUUUCAACCAUCAAGCCCCCGGCUUGUGUUGGGGCCCUGCGGCUGCCGCAGGCCCUUAAAAACAGUGGCGGGCUCGCUGUCACACCGAGCGUAGUAAUACAUCUCGCUUUGGACGUGCAGCGGGUUCUUGCCGUGAAACACCCCCCUUCUCAAGGUUGACCUCGGAUCAGGUAGGAAUACCCGCUGAACUUAAG